rnacentral:rRNA from 1 species
UACGAAGGGGGCUAGCGUUGCUCGGAAUUACUGGGCGUAAAGCGCGUGUAGGCUGCUCGGAAAGUCGGAUGUGAAAGCCCUGGGCUCAACCUAGGAAGUGCAUUCGAAACUUCCGAGCUGGAGUGCUGGAGAGGAAGGCGGAAUUCUCGGUGUAGAGGUGAAAUUCGUAGAUAUCGAGAGGAACGCCGGUGGCGAAGGCGGCCUUCUGGACAGCCACUGACGCUGAGACGCGAAAGCGUGGGGAGCAAACAGG